UGGUGAGUAACACGUGGGAAACCUGCCCAGAAGCGGGGGAUAACACCUGGAAACAGAUGCUAAUACCGCAUAACAACUUGGACCGCAUGGUCCGAGCUUGAAAGAUGGCUUCGGCUAUCACUUUUGGAUGGUCCCGCGGCGUAUUAGCUAGAUGGUGGGGUAACGGCUCACCAUGGCAAUGAUACGUAGCCGACCUGAGAGGGUAAUCGGCCACAUUGGGACUGAGACACGGCCCAAACUCCUACGGGAGGCAGCAGUAGGGAAUCUUCCACAAUGGACGAAAGUCUGAUGGAGCAACGCCGCGUGAGUGAAGAAGGGUUUCGGCUCGUAAAACUCUGUUGUUAAAGAAGAACAUAUCUGAGAGUAACUGUUCAGGUAUUGACGGUAUUUAACCAGAAAGCCACGGCUAACUACGUGCCAGCAGCCGCGGUAAUACGUAGGUGGCAAGCGUUGUCCGGAUUUAUUGGGCGUAAAGCGAGCGCAGGCGGUUUUUUAAGUCUGAUGUGAAAGCCUUCGGCUCAACCGAAGAAGUGCAUCGGAAACUGGGAAACUUGAGUGCAGAAGAGGACAGUGGAACUCCAUGUGUAGCGGUGAAAUGCGUAGAUAUAUGGAAGAACACCAGUGGCGAAGGCGGCUGUCUGGUCUGUAACUGACGCUGAGGCUCGAAAGUAUGGGUAGCAAACAGGAUUAGAUACCCUGGUAGUCCAUACCGUAAACGAUGAAUGCUAAGUGUUGGAGGGUUUCCGCCCUUCAGUGCUGCAGCUAACGCAUUAAGCAUUCCGCCUGGGGAGUACGGCCGCAAGGCUGAAACUCAAAGGAAUUGACGGGGGCCCGCACAAGCGGUGGAGCAUGUGGUUUAAUUCGAAGCUACGCGAAGAACCUUACCAGGUCUUGACAUACUAUGCAAAUCUAAGAGAUUAGACGUUCCCUUCGGGGACAUGGAUACAGGUGGUGCAUGGUUGUCGUCAGCUCGUGUCGUGAGAUGUUGGGUUAAGUCCCGCAACGAGCGCAACCCUUAUUAUCAGUUGCCAGCAUUAAGUUGGGCACUCUGGUGAGACUGCCGGUGACAAACCGGAGGAAGGUGGGGAUGACGUCAAAUCAUCAUGCCCCUUAUGACCUGGGCUACACACGUGCUACAAUGGAUGGUACAACGAGUUGCGAACUCGCGAGAGUAAGCUAAUCUCUUAAAGCCAUUCUCAGUUCGGAUUGUAGGCUGCAACUCGCCUACAUGAAGUCGGAAUCGCUAGUAAUCGCGGAUCAGCAUGCCGCGGUGAAUACGUUCCCGGGCCUUGUAC
rnacentral:rRNA from 1 species